rnacentral:rRNA from 1 species
UAAAAAUCUACUUCACCAUACAAAUUAAACUAAAACAUUCUUCUGCCCCAGUAUGGGCGACAGAAAAGGCACUACUGGCGCUAUAGAGAUCUGUACCGUAAGGGAAAGAUGAAAUAGUAAUGAAAACCCGAGCAAAAAACAGCAAAGAUAAACCCUUGUACCUCUUGCAUCAUGAUUUAGCAAGAACAACCAAGCAAAACGAGUUUAAGCUUGCCACCCCGAAACCCGAGCGAGCUACUCACAAGCAGCUACCCCCUGAGCGAACCCGUCUCUGUUGCAAAAGAGUGGGAUGACUUGUUAGUAGAGGUGAAAAGCCUACCGAGCCGGGUGAUAGCUGGUUGCCCGUGAAAUGAAUCUAAGUUCUCUCUUAAUUUUCUCUUUUUUCCCCCCCGGACAUCCAACCGCAACCACCAUGUGACAAAUCAAGAGCAAUUUAAAGGAGGUACAGCUCCUUUAAAAAAGAAUACAAUCUCCCCUAGCGGAUAACUGCCCAACUGACCCUAAACUGUGGGCCCUCAAGCAGCCAUCAACAAAGAAUGCGUCAAAGCUCUACCCCAAAAAAAAUCCAAAAACAACAGGACUCCCUUAUCUAUAGCGGGCCAACCUAUAAUAAUAGGAGAAUCAAUGCUAAAAUGAGUAAUCGGGGGCCACCCUCUCGAGCGCAAACUUACAUCACCACAUUGUUAACAAGCCCUAAACUAAUAUCCCACCCUCAAACAAGCUAAGUAUUAAACUUACCCUGUUAGUCCAACUCAGGAGCGCCCAAUUAGAAAGAUUCAAAUCUGCAAAAGGAACUAGGCAACCCUAAGGCCCGACUGUUUACCAAAAACAUAGCCUUCAGCCAACCAAGUAUUGAAGGUGAUGCCUGCCCAGUGACACUCCGUUCAACGGCCGCGGUAUCCUAACCGUGCGAAGGUAGCGCAAUCAAUUGUCCCAUAAAUCGAGACUUGUAUGAAUGGCUAAACGAGGUCUUAACUGUCUCUUGCAGACAAUCAAUGAAAUUGAUCUUCCUGUGCAAAAGCAGGAAUAAACCCAUAAGACGAGAAGACCCUGUGGAACUUAAAAAUCAGCGGCCACCACACACAACCCAAAACCUACCAGGCCUACGACCCCAAGUAAAACACUGGCCCGCAUUUUUCGGUUGGGGCGACCUUGGAGAAAAGUAAAUCCUCCAAAAACAAGACCACACACCUUGACCAAGAGCAACCCCUCAACGUACUAACAGUAACCAGACCCAAUAUAAUUGACCAAUGGACCAAGCUACCCCAGGGAUAACAGCGCAAUCCCCUCCAAGAGCCCAUAUCGACAAGGGGGUUUACGACCUCGAUGUUGGAUCAGGACACCCUAAUGGUGCAGCCGCUAUUAAGGGUUCGUUUGUUCAACGAUUAACAGUCCUACGUGAUCUGAGUUCAGACCGGAGCAAUCCAGGUCGGUUUCUAUCUAUGCCGGGCUUUUCCUAGUACGAAAGGACCGGAAAAGCAAGGCCCAUACUAUAGGCAUGCCUUCCCUCUAAGUAGUGAACCCAACUAAACUACCAAACAGGACACACCAUUUCACCAUCCUAGAAAAGGAUCG